AGUGUGAUCUUGGCUCAGGAUGAACGCUAGCUACAGGCUUAACACAUGCAAGUCGAGGGGCAGCAUGGUCUUAGCUUGCUAAGGCCGAUGGCGACCGGCGCACGGGUGAGUAACACGUAUCCAACCUGCCGUCUACUCUUGGACAGCCUUCUGAAAGGAAGAUUAAUACAAGAUGGCAUCAUGAGUCCGCAUGUUCACAUGAUUAAAGGUAUUCCGGUAGACGAUGGGGAUGCGUUCCAUUAGAUAGUAGGCGGGGUAACGGCCCACCUAGUCUUCGAUGGAUAGGGGUUCUGAGAGGAAGGUCCCCCACAUUGGAACUGAGACACGGUCCAAACUCCUACGGGAGGCAGCAGUGAGGAAUAUUGGUCAAUGGGCGCAGGCCUGAACCAGCCAAGUAGCGUGAAGGAUGACUGCCCUAUGGGUUGUAAACUUCUUUUAUAAAGGAAUAAAGUCGGGUAUGUAUACCCGUUUGCAUGUACUUUAUGAAUAAGGAUUGGCUAACUCCGUGCCAGCAGCCGCGGUAAUACGGAGGAUCCGAGCGUUAUCCGGAUUUAUUGGGUUUAAAGGGAGCGUAGAUGGAUGUUUAAGUCAGUUGUGAAAGUUUGCGGCUCAACCGUAAAAUUGCAGUUGAUACUGGAUAUCUUGAGUGCAGUUGAGGCAGGCGGAAUUCGUGGUGUAGCGGUGAAAUGCUUAGAUAUCACGAAGAACUCCGAUUGCGAAGGCAGCCUGCUAAGCUGCAACUGACAUUGAGGCUCGAAAGUGUGGGUAUCAAACAGGAUUAGAUACCCUGGUAGUCCACACGGUAAACGAU
rnacentral:rRNA from 1 species